rnacentral:rRNA from 1 species
UUUUCCUACGGGACGCAGCAGUAGGGAAUUUUCGUCAAUGGGCGCAAGCCUGAACGAGCAAUGCCGCGUGAGUGAGGAAGGUCUUCGGAUCGUAAAGCUCUGUUGCGGGGGAAAAAGGAAGCAGAAAGGAAAUGGUCUGCUUUUGAUGGUACCCCGCCAGAAAGUCACGGCUAACUACGUGCCAGCAGCCGCGGCAAUACGUAGGUGGCGCGCGUUAUCCGGAAUGAUUGGGCGUAAAGGGGGCGCAGGCG